AUUCCUGUAGUUUAAAAAAAACAUUACACUUUCAUUGUAAAAUUAAAGUCACCUUUCAGAAAUU
rnacentral:tRNA from 1 species